UACGGAGGAUGCAAGCGUUAUCCGGAAUGAUUGGGCGUAAAGGGUCCGCAGGUGGCAAUGUGUGUCUGCUGUCAAAAAAUGAGGCUUAACCUCAUCAAGGCAGUGGAAACUACAUAGCUAGAGUACGGUCGGGGUAGAAGGAAUUCCUGGUGUAGCGGUGAAAUGCGUAGAGAUCAGGAAGAACACCGGUGGCGAAAGCGUUCUGCUAGACCUGUACUGACACUGAGGGACGAAAGCUAGGGGAGCGAAUGGG
rnacentral:rRNA from 1 species